CCUACGGGAGGCAGCAGUAAGGAAUCUUGCGCAAUGGGCGAAAGCCUGAUGCAGCAACGCCGCGUGCGCGAUGAAGGCCUUCGGGUCGUAAAGCGCUUUUCGGGGAGAUGAGGAAGGACAGUAUCCCCGGAAUAAGUCUCGGCUAACUACGUGCCAGCAGCCGCGGUAAAACGUAGGAGGCAAGCGUUAUCCGAAUUUACUGGGCGUAAAGCGCGUGCAGGCGGUUCGGUAAGUUGGAUGUAAAAUCUCCUGGCUCAACUGGGAGAGGUCGUUCAAUACUGGCGGACUAGAGGAUGGCAGAGGGAGGUGAAAUUCCCGGUGUAGGGGUGAAAUGCGUAGAUAUCGGGAGGAACACCAGUGGCGAAGGCGACCUCCUGGACCAUUCCUGACGCUCAGACGCGAAAGCUGGGGGAGCGAACGGGAUUAGAAACCCCGGUAGU
rnacentral:rRNA from 1 species